UACAGAGGUCUCAAGCGUUGUUCGGAUUCAUUGGGCGUAAAGGGUGCGUAGGCGGCGCGGUAAGUCGGGUGUGAAAUCUCGGAGCUUAACUCCGAAACUGCAUUCGAUACUGCCGUGCUUGAGUACAGAAGAGGAAAGCGGAAUUCCACGUGUAGCGGUGAAAUGCGUAGAGAUGUGGAGGAACACCAGUGGCGAAGGCGGCUUUCUGGUCUGUAACUGACGCUGAGGCGCGAAAGCGUGGGGAGCAAACAGG
rnacentral:rRNA from 1 species